UACGGGGGGGGCAAGCGUUGUUCGGAAUUACUGGGCGUAAAGGGCUCGUAGGCGCCAACUAAGUCGGACGUGAAAUCCCCAGGCUCAACCUGGGAACUGCGUCCGAUACUGGAUGGCUUGAAUUCGGGAGAGGGAUGCAGAAUUCCAGGUGUAGCGGUGAAAUGCGUAGAGAUGUGGAGGAAUACCGAUGGCGAAGGCAGCCCCCUGGGAUAACACUGACGCUCAUGCACGAAAGCGUGGGGAGCAAACAGG
rnacentral:rRNA from 1 species